rnacentral:rRNA from 1 species
CCUGCCAUUUGUACACACCGCCCGUCGUUGCUACCGAUUGGCUGUGGGAUAGAGUUGAGGGGAGGUUCGUCAAGGCGUUCGCGUUUUGAUUUGGGCCAAAUCUCAACAAUAUUUCUCAGCUAGAGGAAGCAAAAGUCGUAACAAGGUUGCUGUAGGUGAACCUGCAGCAGGAUCAUUUAACGA